UACGUAGGGUGCGAGCGUUAAUCGGAAUUAUUGGGCGUAAAGGGCUCGUAGGCGGUCUGUCACGUCAGGAGUGAAAACUCGGGGUUCAACCCCGAGCCUGCUUCUGAUACGGGCAGACUGGAGGUAUGCAGGGGAGAACGGAAUUCCUGGUGUAGCGGUGAAAUGCGCAGAUAUCAGGAGGAACACCGGUGGCGAAGGCGGUUCUCUGGGCCGAUACUGACGCUGAGGAGCGAAAGCGUGGGGAGCGAACAGG
rnacentral:rRNA from 1 species